UACCAGCACCCCGAGUGGUCGGGACGAUUAUUGGGCCUAAAGCAUCCGUAGCCGGUUUUACAAGUCCUCCGUUAAAUCCAGCUGCUUAACAGAUGGGCCGCGGAGGAUACUAUAAGACUAGGAGGCAGGAGAGGCAAGCGGUACUCAGUGGGUAGGGGUAAAAUCCGUUGAUCCAUUGAAGACCACCAGUGGCGAAGGCGGCUUGCCAGAAUGCGCUCGACGGUGAGGGAUGAAAGCUGGGGGAGCAACCGG
rnacentral:rRNA from 1 species